UUCUCUGAACUCGAGACUUGACCUUCUUGUCGAAUGCUUUCAUCACUCUCUGCUGAUGUAACUGACCAUGACACAUGGCAGUUGAUCUCUUCUUUUCGAUCGAAUUCAGCAUCAGUCAACUUGGAACUUUGAGGGUGCUAUUUUCUUUUGUUCCUUUCUUUCUUUUUCUUUCUUUGCUUUUUCUGAUUCUGAUUUUGAUUUCUUUUGAUUUUUUUUUGUUUUGUUUUGCACCCUCCUCUUUUUUGUUUUUAUGUAUAUAUGCCCCAGUUGGCUGUUCUGCUGAUUCUCGAGAUGCAGCUGAGUGAUCUUCUUUUCUUGCUCAAGAAGUCGGGAAAUCUCGUCAGGAAUCCCUUCAACAUCACCUUCUUCCGCUUCGUAUACAGGGAAUUCAAAAUUGGGAGAUGACGUCCGAUCAUUAUGUUCAAUGGGUUUGAGAAUCAACCUGCAUAAUGAUUUGAUAUGAAAAGCUUUUUUUGGAAAUCAAAC
rnacentral:lncRNA from 1 species